GCACCCACUCGCAAGUGGUUCUGACUCAAGAAGGUCCGGUUGUGAAAAAACCUGGAGAAUCCCAUAAACUCACCUGUGCCACCAGUGGGCUUCCUCUGAGUAGCACAUGGAUGACCUGGAUCCGACAGAAACCUGGCAAAGGAUUGGAAUGGCUUCUGGAGUAUUAUGACAGUGGGAGCAAUAACUAUUCCCCUGAAAUUCGAGGACGAUUCACGGCGUCUAAGAGUGCCACUGAGUUUUAUCUCCAAAUGAAUGACCUGAAAUCCGAAGACACGGCCGUGUAUUACUGUGCAAGACACGCACAGUGA